AAUGCUUACUCAGGAGCACGCUAAUAUCGCUUCACUGUAUCCCACCCUCCUUUAAUCCUUAAAACCCUAAUCUUCAAACAUUUCUCGCUUCUGCGCUGUGGAUUGUAGCUUAGUCUGCUCUCGAUCUUCUGAGGGACAAUGAGUCGAUCGAGUAGGACACUUUAUGUUGGCAAUCUUCCCGGCGAUAUUCGUGAGCGUGAAGUGGAAGAUCUGUUUUAUAAGUAUGGCCCAAUAGCACAUAUUGAGCUGAAAAUUCCACCAAGACCCCCUGGUUAUGCUUUUGUUGAGUUUGAAGAAGUUCGUGAUGCUGAAGAUGCUAUUCGUGGUCGUGAUGGCUAUGAUUUUGAUGGGCACCGUCUGAGGGUUGAGCUUGCACAUGGCGGACGUGGUCAGUCGUCAAACGAUCGUUAUGGUGGUGGCGACGGUGGUGGUGGUCGUGGUCACCGUGGUGGAGUGUCCAGACGUUCUGAUUAUCGAGUGAAGAUUACAGGAUUACCCCAUUCAGCGUCGUGGCAGGAUCUCAAGGAUCACAUGCGUCGAGCUGGGGAUGUUUGUUUCUCCCAAGUUUUCCGUGAACGGAGGGGGACUACUGGUAUUGUGGAUUAUACAAACUACAAUGACAUGAAAUAUGCUAUCAAAAAGCUUGAUGACUCUGAGUUUCGGAAUGCCUUUUCUCGUUCAACAAUUCGGGUUAAGGAAUAUGACCACAGCCGCAGCCAAAGCCGCAGUCGAAGCCGCAGCCGUUCUUACUCCAGAGGAAAGAGUGGCAGUAGAAGCCGUAGCCGAAGUAGAAGUGUCGGUCGUAGCAGGAGCAAAAGCAAAUCUCCUAAAGCUAAAUCUUCAAGGCGCUCAAGAUCUCGUUCAAGGUCCGUCUCUUCUCGGUCCCGUUCUGGGUCAAAAGGACGUUCUAUCUCAAGGCAGGAUUUUAGAGGGGGGUUUAGUGCUUGCAAUGGCAUUAGCAAACCAUUAGAAUGAACCAAAUGAGAUUUUCUUACUCUGCUCGCCAAUUCAAUGUGCAACCAUUCAAUAGAGACUGGUCACUAUGAUAGUAUGUUGGAUAUAUGCGGCAGUUUGUGGAUUUGCAUAUUAGGAUCUUGAGUGGAUAUGCAUAUGGUCUUGCCUGCAACUCUUUUUGGUUGUGGAGGUACGAUGUUUUCUAGAUGGCAACUUUGGGUCCUUUAUGAUGUCUCUGAUCUAAUGAGCAUCGUGAAAUGUUCCGUGGGUGCUAGAUUGGGAUCAUGAAGAUCAUGGAUUCUAUGGUGGAGCUGGACUGGGGAACUAACUGCCACCUGAAUUUGGAUCACCACCUAUUUGUGGUAGAUGCAUUUUCUACCAAAGUGAAGAAAGACUCUAGUUCAUUCUUUUCAUUCCUGGUUAUUGGUCUCUUUGACUGCACAAAUUUGAACUAUUACUUAAAUCUUAACUGGCUAAAUUGCAUUGCUUCAUACAUGCCAUAUUUUCCACUCUGGAUUCUGCCCACAAUGUUACUUUGAUAAUGGUCAUGCUGAUGUGGAAGUGGAAUCGAGGCAGUUGGAGGAAUUGUUAAGUGGCAGGACUGGGAUAUUAAAUUAAGUUCUUUCUGGAAAUUUUGCAGAUCUCCAUCAAGGUCCAGAUCGCCAGCACCAUCUCGCCCAAAACGUUUGAGUAAAAGUCCAAAAAGACGCAGUCCCAGCCAAAGCCAGAGCAGGAGCCGGAGUCGUAGUCGGAGCAGAGGUUUAUCCAGUUAAGAUUGUUGGAGUCAUCUCUUGACUUGGGUUGCUGUGAUUGCGAGUUCCAUCAUGCCCGGAAGAUUAGCUGCAUAGUCGGGGAGUCCAAGUGCCCGAAAGAGUGUUGUUCUGCUUACAUUAAAGGAUUUCUGUAUUAUUGAACGCCAGACGAUAAUAAUUGUUAUACUGAACUUGGUAUCUCUUAAGACUUGGUAAAGACUGCAAUAUUAUAGUAGAACUUAAUAGGCUUUCUAGCUGCGUGAUGGUAAGAGAUGGAACUAAUUUCCUUUUUCACAUUCACAUUAUGAAUUUCCUUGAUUUGCAGAU